GAUGAACGCUGGCGGCGUGCCUAAUACAUGCAAGUCGAGCGAAUGGAUUAAGAGCUUGCUCUUAUGAAGUUAGCGGCGGACGGGUGAGUAACACGUGGGUAACCUGCCCAUAAGACUGGGAUAACUCCGGGAAACCGGGGCUAAUACCGGAUAACAUUUUGAACCGCAUGGUUCGAAAUUGAAAGGCGGCUUCGGCUGUCACUUAUGGAUGGACCCGGGUCGCAUUAGCUAGUUGGUGAGGUAACGGCUCACCAAGGCAACGAUGCGUAGCCGACCUGAGAGGGUGAUCGGCCACCCUGGGACUGAGAAACGGCCCAGACUCCUACGGGAGGCAGCAGUAGGGAAUCUUCCGCAAUGGACGAAAGUCUGACGGAGCAACGCCGCGUGAGUGAUGAAGGCUUUCGGGUCGUAAAACUCUGUUGUUAGGGAAGAACAAGUGCUAGUUGAAUAAGCUGGCACCUUGACGGUACCUAACCAGAAAGCCACGGCUAACUACGUGCCAGCCGCCGCCGUAA
rnacentral:rRNA from 1 species